AAGGGAAGGGACGCAGUCAUUCGGAUUCAUUAACGACCACUGACAACCGGGAAGCCUCCUCCUGUAGCAUCACUCACACACACCCACACACACACAAAACACCGGGAAGAAGAUGGUCGCGGUGCGGGCGUCCCCGACUUCGUCCCCGUCAGCGGAGUGGAUCUGCUGUCUGGAUAAAAGGCCCUCGGAGCGCUCGGGAGAGGAUGUGGACAUUAUUCUGACCAGACUUAGGGAGGUCAAAGCCUUUCAGAGGUUCCCGACUCCACUGUUACUGCAGAUAUGUGCCUGUGCCUUCUAUGAAUGUCUGGAGAAAGGCAUCACAUUGUUCCGACAGGGAGACAUAGGCACCAGCUGGUAUGCUGUUCUCUCUGGUUCCCUGGAUGUCAAAGUGUCAGAAACAGCCAACCACCAGGAUGCAGUCGCUAUCUGCACACUGGGGAUUGGCACAGCGUUUGGGGAGUCGAUCCUGGACAACACGCCACGCCACGCUACCAUUGUCAGCAGAGAGACCAGCGAGCUGCUCCGCAUCGAACAGAGGGAGUUCAAGAGUCUGUGGGAGAAGCAUCGUCAGAGCCUUGCUGGACUGUUGGCCCCUCCCUAUGGAGCAAUGGAGAGUGGAUCCAACAAUGACAGACUCGCAGACAAAGACAACAUUAACUCUGACUCUGCAAACAAAGCUCACAACAAGAUCCCCUCAGAGAAACUGCAGAGGGCAGGGAAGGUUCUCCGCAAUGCCAUCCUGUCCAGAGCUCCACACAUGAUUCGAGACAGGAAGUACCACCUCAAGACGUACAGACAGUGCUGUGUUGGCACAGAGCUGGUUGACUGGCUGGUGCUGCAGAGUGCAUGUGUGCUAACACGGUCCCAUGCUGUUGGCAUGUGGCAGGCACUGCUGGAAGAAGGAGUGCUUAACCAUGUGGACCAGGAGCUGGGUUUCCAGGACAAGUACCUGUUCUAUCGCUUUCUGGACGAUGAAGAGGAAGACACGCCGUUGCCUAGUGAGGAGGAGAAGAGGGAGAGUGAGGAAGAGUUGCCCGAGACCAUCCUCUUCGUUGCCCAGAUUGGCCCUGAUGCACUGCUGCGAAUGAUUCUCAGGAAAUCGCCUGGUCAGAGGACAGGGGACGACUUAGAGAUCAUCUAUGAUGAGCUGCUUCACAUCAAGGCCUUAGCUCACCUCUCCAACACUGUGAAGAGGGAACUGGCAAGUGUUGUGAUCUUUGAGUCGCAUGCAAAGGCUGGAACAGUGUUGUUCAAUCAAGGAGAGGAGGGCACAUCGUGGUACAUCAUCCAGAAAGGCUCCGUCAAUGUAGUCAUCUAUGGCAAGGGGGUGGUGUGUACGCUCCACGAGGGUGAUGACUUUGGGAAGUUGGCACUGGUUACGGAUUCACCUCGUGCUGCCUCCAUUGUUCUGAGAGAGGACAACUGCCACUUCCUUCGUGUGGACAAGGAAGACUUCAACAGGAUACUCAGGGAUGUGGAAGCCAACACUGUGCGUUUGAAAGAACACGAACAAGCUGUGCUGGUGUUAGAAAAGAGUCCUCGAACCUCCACCCUGGGGAGCAUCAAGUACACUGUGAUAUCCGGAACCCCAGAGAAGGUUCUUGAACACUUCCUCGAGACCAUGAGGGUGGACAUACAUCACAAUGAACCAGACCCAGCAGUGGAUGAUUUUGUCCUCAUGCACUGUGUCUUCAUGUCCAACAGCCAGCUCUGCCCUCUACUCAUGGCACACUACCACGUGGCAUCUCCGCCUGGCUCUGAGCAGGAGAGGCUUGAGUAUGCACUCAACAACAAGAGGAGGGCCCUCAUCCUAGCUCUGCGCUGGGCUAGCACACACUCCUACCUGCUGCAGGAGGAGCCCGCUGCUAUCUCUUUCUUGGAGGAGUUAUACGGAAGUUUAUUGAAUGAUUCUCGGAUGCUGAGAGCUCUGAAAGACUUUGUUCCUGACCUGGAAAACAUUGUGAAAUUACAUUCAGAAGAAGCCAAAUCAACAAAAAAGAAAACAUUAAUACGACAGUUCAGCAAUGGAGAGGAAAGACUGCAAAAGAAACAGCCCAUUAGGAAUCACGAUGACAUCCUACUGAAGGUCUACUGCAGUGACCACACAUACACUACGAUCCGGGUUUCUGUGGCAGCAACAGGACGAGAAGUUAUUGGUGCUGUGGCCGACAAACUUGGCACGAGUGACGAGCUGGUGUUGAUCCACCUCAGCUCUGCUUGUGAAAAACUAAUCUUGAAGCCAAAUGACGUGUCGGUGUUUUCUUCUUUGAACAUCAAUGGGCGAUUAUUUGCCUGUCCACGAGACCAGCUUAGCAGUGUGGCUCCUCUUCCAGACCAGGAGGGCCCCUCUGCAGGCUCCAUGUCAACUUUUGAGCUGAUGAGCUCUAAGGACCUGGCUUACCAAAUGACCAUGUUUGACUGGGAGCUCUUCAGCUGUGUACAUGAGCACGAGUUACUCUACCACACGUUUGGCCGACAAAGCUUCAGAAGAACAACAGCUAACCUGGAUUUGUUCCUGCGGAGAUUCAACCAGGUUCAACUGUGGGUUGUCACUGAAGUCUGUCUCUGUGGACAGCUCAGCAAAAGAGUCCAGCUCCUCAAGAAGUUCAUCAAGAUAGCUGCACACUGUCGAGAGUUUAAGAACCUGAAUUCGUUCUUUGCCAUUAUUAUGGGGAUGAGCAACCCUGCUGUCAGCAGACUGAGCCAGACGUGGGAGAAACUCCCCACAAAGUUUAAGAAGUUCUACGCUGAGUUUGAGAGCAUGAUGGACCCAUCCAGAAACCACAGGUCCUACCGACUCACUGUUACCAAACUGGAGCCGCCAAUCAUCCCCUUUAUGCCCCUCCUUCUUAAAGACAUGACAUUCACACAUGAGGGCAACAAGACAUUCAUUGACAAUAUGGUCAAUUUUGAGAAAAUGCGUCUUAUAGCUAACACUAUUCGACAAGUGAGACAUUGUAGAAGCCAACCUUUCAAUCCAGACAUAUGCCAACCAAACAAAAACCAAGCAGAGGUGCGGGGUUACGUCAGGAAGCUCUGCGUCAUUGACAACCAGAGGGCGCUGACGCAGCUCUCCUAUAGGCUGGAGCCUCGGCGGACAUGAGCUCCACAUGUUAAAACCACAAUCGCCUUCUCUGUGACACUAGCAGCAAAAGAAAAAAAAAAGACAAAAACACACAAAUGACCCGGAUGAAAUAACACAACUGGAUGUUCAGUAGCAAAUCACAACACUCAGUGACAUUAUCACUCUUAUGGACUAUUAUGAAUCAAGGACAUAUACUGUGCCAUUAAAAGCCUCUUCCUCCUGGACAGACACACUGUUCAGCUGCUCUCCUGUCGCUGUGACUGAUGGUUUAAACCACAUUAGCUGUCACUCGUUGGGACCUGUUAGAUAGAAUUGUAAUGUAUAGAACUGGAAUCAGUAUCCUGCAUGACUGAACUUCAUUGGCUUUUUGUUCUAUACAGUGGAUUUCUAUCGGCGUGUCCUGUAAUGUUGUGCUACCCAAGAUUCGCCCUUGUUUACAUUAUAUUGCUGUACUUGCCUGUAAAGCAAACUUUACUCUCUUGACAGAUGUACUCGUGGACAGACACUGAGAACCACAUAGUCUGUAGUGAAAAUUAGACUCCUCAUUGUCCCUGGUGAAUACAUGGAAAGGUAUAACAUCUGAAAGCACUUAUUUACUUCAGAAUCUACUGGAGUAUGUCAAGUCUUUGAGAGUCUUUAGGAUUUGGUGUCCUUUAGGUGAAUAUUGGUGUCCCUUUACUAGUCAGACAAAUUUCAAAACUAUUCACAAGAGUAUUAGUUGAAUUAAAGCCUUCCUUCCGAGCAGUGUUCAAAUUUGUCAAUAUACUGUGUUUCAUUUUUGCAGUGGAGGACACCUUAUGAUUACAAAUUAUCCUAGAUGAGGAGGUUACUUGGUCGAAUCUGUUUUGCUGGAUGACCUUGUUGUGUCUCUUUGAUUUGGAAGCAAUGACCGUGGAUAGAUGGAGUCUAAAAAGCAUCUCAAGAACCUUGUCAUCUCCCAGCUGUGUUCAGUCCGUGUUAUUUUCAUUUUGUAUAACAGGGUGUAGAGUUUGAGCGUGUUCUUGACAAGUGUCAUUCAUUUUCUUUUUGAUCUCAGGAGCUUUUGAUGUGAUGGUGUUUGUCGAGAACUGCAGCGAUGCUGCCCCCUCCCCAUCCCCCCAGAGCUGCCUCCUUACUGCAGGGGGUGCUGCUGGUGUAGUGGAUGGUUGUGGAGAGUGCACCUGGUUCAUGUAAGUGAUGUCAGCAUGGCUCUCCUUUCCGAUGAGGUCACCGGGUCAUUCCUGUUGGGCUGAGUAACACACUGUCCCUGUCUGGCUUCUCUGGUGAGUGUGUGUUUUUAGCUGCAGUGUGUGAGAGAAGGAUUUAGUUAUGUGUGGCAGUCGUCCUUGUUGCUAACUGAUUUACUAUCUAUGACAUGCCAUAGGUUGAAGUUGU